UACGAAGGGGGCUAGCGUUGCUCGGAAUUACUGGGCGUAAAGGGCGCGUAGGCGGAUAGUUUAGUCAGAGGUGAAAGCCCAGGGCUCAACCCUGGAAUUGCCUUUGAUACUGGCUAUCUUGAGUUCGGGAGAGGUGAGUGGAACUGCGAGUGUAGAGGUGAAAUUCGUAGAUAUUCGCAAGAACACCAGUGGCGAAGGCGGCUCACUGGCCCGAUACUGACGCUGAGGCACGAAAGCGUGGGGAGCAAACAGG
rnacentral:rRNA from 1 species